CGCCAGUUUGUUAAUCUGGUUGUUGAAACCUGCAAGAGUCGCUCCUACACGGUGCGCUGCAUCAAAUCUUCAAGUCUCUUCCAACCAAAGAAGCAGAAGGGAUGCCCGCUGUCGCUUCUAAAGCCGGAAGAAGCCGAGCUGCCCAAAUCUGCAUUUUCGCUUGGUGUUUCCACUCCCAUGCAAGUUAAUUGGGACAUGCAGUUCAUGCCCUUUGGUUACAAAAACAGGGACAAUAUACUGAGCACAGACCAGCAAGGAAACGUCCUGGUUUACGACGCCUGCCAGAACCAGAUCUGCAGCAUGCCUAAGCUCAGGGCAGGAUUGAUGGAGAACUCUUUUCCGAUUAACCUAGGUGAUGCCCUAUACCUCAUCGAGAGGCGACCUGACAAGCCUCAUAAGAUUCUUCCCUAUCAACCCUGCUUCCAAGCUCUUAUCAACGGCAAAUCUCCUGCUGGUCCCGUUGUUGAUUAUCCCGGAUGGCACUGGCACACUCUACCACCGCCACCGUAUGUGGAAGCUCCUCGGUACAAGCCUAGCUGCACCUACAAAAUUCGCUCCUGCACCGUGGUCCGCAACAAGAUCUGGAUAUCUGCCAGUGGCAUUGGCACCUACUCCUUCAACACGGACAGCCACGAGUGGAGCUAUGUCGGCAGCUGGGAGCUCCCAUUCCGUGGCCCUGCUAAGUUUGUGCCUGAGCUGGGCCGCUGGCUUGGAUUCUCCACCGUGCGAGAGAACCACUACCUGUGUGCUUCAGACCUCUCGAUCUCGACUGCUGAGGAUGGUACAGUACCCACCCUGUGUUGCGAAUGGAAACAAGAGCUUGAUGCUAACCAUGACAAGUGGCAGGUGGUGACCUCCUACCUUGUGCGCGUGGACUAUGGCAGGUUCUGCGUUGCCAGGCUAUACGACGUAUAUGAUGACGACGAGCCUGCUUUGGUAAGGGAGAAUUUUGCUGUGUUGACAGGGUUGGAGGCGGGGCUUAGCGACAUUGCUGAUGGUGGUGGGAUCCAGAUGGUCAAGCACAAAUCC
rnacentral:rRNA from 1 species